rnacentral:misc_RNA from 1 species
AAGAAAACUAGGGGAUGUGCUGGCUUUAAGCAUGUGCACUCCUCAACUCUUAUCCUAUCCACCUGUGCACACCCUGUAGGCAGAAAUGAGGAACAAAUUGUGUUCUCCCAUUUCACUGCCUAUGAUUUUACACACACCAUGUAAAGUUGAAGCAUGUAAACAUAUUAUA